UUCGUUUUGGUUUAUUUUGUUCUUAUUUAUUCAUUUACGUGUUUAAAUAUGAAUAAAACUAUAAAACUGGAGUUCGAGAGAUAUUGUUCUGCAUGAUAUCCAAGUUCUAAGAAAAGCAAGUAGAAAAAGAACCUGAAUUCUACCAAAAACAAAAUUGUUUACAUGUGGUGUUGAAUUUCUUGGGAAAUCUGGAGGAUGUAGAAGGAGUCGAUGCAAUAGUGAGAACUAUUGGUAAAUCCCAGAACCAGUACAUCAAAGAAAUCACUUCCAUUACUGGUAUAAGUGUAAUAUCAAUACACAUAAUAAAAAAAAGAAGGGGCAACAAAUCAAGGUGUCUGGAGUACACCUGCAAAAAAACUACCUCAUAAACCAACAGUGUCCCAUUUGGACAAUUUUAACAUGAAUGCUAUUCGCAACAAAAUUAAUGAAUUUUAUAUUGUUAGAAAACAACUUCCACUUCCACAAAAUGAGAACACUUGCUGUAAUUAAGAGAAACAUAGGAUUUACUGGAUGUCGGGAAACUCUUCGCUAAAUAUUAUUGGCUAAUGGCUAUGAAUUUAAGAAAAACAUAUAUGAAUGUUCUUUUUUAAUUGAGCGCAAUGACAAAUCUGCCUGGAGACAUUACUUUUUAAGAUCUAUAUCAUUGAAACAUGCAGAAAGAAAGCCAAUAAUUUAUUUAGAUGAAAGUUAUGUCCAUAAAAACUACGAAAUUGUGGCAAGGUCCCUCUACAAGUGGGGCUAUUGAAAAUCUUUCAUCUGAAAAAAGGUACAUAAUUGUACAAGCAGGGUCGCAAAAAGGUCCUGUGCCGAACUCAUUAUUAGUAUUUAGCACUAAAUCAAAAAUUAUCGGAUUUUCACCAUGAUAGGAAUGCUGCCAACUUCAAUAAGUGGUUAGAAGAAAAGCUCCUACCCAAUUUAAAUGAGCCAAGUGUAAUUGUUAUGGACAAUGCCAGUUACCAUUCUGUUAUAGAAAUAAAGUUGUAGUGGCAACACAGAAUCACAAACAUGAGAUAUGAGAAUGGCUUACUUUGAAUAAUAUUCAAUUUGAAGAGUACCAUAGAAAAGCAGAACUGCUAUGUCUAGUAAAACGGUAUAAACCAGAGCCAAUAUAUGAAGCUGAUAAAAUUUUAAAGCACAAUGGUCAUGUGAUAUUGAGACUACCUCCAUACCAUUGUGAUCUGAAUGCCAUUGAGCAGGUAUGGAGGCUGAGCAGUUAGAACAAGUGAUUAGAGAAAGAAAACAAUUUUUUGACCGGAUUUAAGCUAUUUGUAUUAUUAUAAACUUAUAAUUAUUUACAUAAUUUUCAAUUUAAAUUGAUUGUUUCAAUCCGUGAAAAUAGAGGACACUGUGAGUCUAAUCUGCAAAAACCCAUCAUCUUUUAGUCAAUACCAACUCCGGGGAAAUAAAUACAGAUAACACAAUUAGAAGAGAACUACAGCUGUGAUACUUUUGACAUUUAACACCUUUUGUCUUCAGUCACCGUGACCACGCACGCUGUAAAGCAAGCAAAAAAAUAUAUAUAAAAAAAGCAAUCCGGUUAAAAAAUUGUUUUCUUUCAAUGUGUAAAAACUAUAUUAAUCAAAGACUAAGUGAAUAAAGAGUCAUUUGAAAAUGUAACAGAAGAGUGGAAGAAAAUGACUGAUCAUGUUGUACAUGUGGAAAAUAAAUAUAAAAAAGGGACUAGACUACAGAGGAAUUUUUAGAAAGUUUCAUAAUCAAUGUGAGACAGUGUAACAGCAAUGAUUAUUGAUUGUUUUUGUUCUGCUUUUGAUUAUUCCGAAUAAAGUUGUGUUUUAU